GAUGAAGAACGUAGCGAAAUGCGAUACGUAAUGUGAAUUGCGGAAUUCAGUGAAUCAUCGAGUCUUUGAACGCACAUUGCGCCCCCUGGUAUUCCGGGGGGCAUGCCUGUCCGAGCGUCAUUGCUGCCCUCAAGCCCGGCUUGUGUGUUGGGUCUCGUCCCCCUUCCCGGGGGGACGGGCCCGAAAGGCAGCGGCGGCACCGCGUCCGGUCCUCGAGCGUAUGGGGCUUUGUCACCCGCUCUGUAGGCCCGGCCGGCGCUUGCCGAUCAACCAAAACUUUUUUCCAGGUUGACCUCGGAUCAGGUAGGGAUACCCGCUGAACUUAAGCAUAUCAAUAAGCGGAGGA
rnacentral:misc_RNA from 1 species